AUUGAACGCUGGCGGCAGGCUUAACACAUGCAAGUCGAGCGGGGAAAGGUAGCUUGCUACCUGACCUAGCGGCGGACGGGUGAGUAAUGCUUAGGAAUCUGCCUAUUAGUGGGGGACAACAUCUCGAAAGGGAUGCUAAUACCGCAUACGUCCUACGGGAGAAAGCAGGGGACCUUCGGGCCUUGCGCUAAUAGAUGAGCCUAAGUCGGAUUAGCUAGUUGGUGGGGUAAAGGCCUACCAAGGCGACGAUCUGUAGCGGGUCUGAGAGGAUGAUCCGCCACACUGGGACUGAGACAAGGCCCAGACUCCUACGGGAGGCAGCAGUGGGGAAUAUUGGACCAUGGGGGGAACCCUGAUCCAGCCAUGCCGCGUGUGUGAAGAAGGCCUUUUGGUUGUAAAGCACUUUAAGCGAGGAGGAGGCUACCGAGAUUAAUACUCUUGGAUAGUGGACGUUACUCGCAGAAUAAGCACCGGCUAACUCUGUG
rnacentral:rRNA from 1 species